rnacentral:rRNA from 1 species
AUAUGGUGUGUCCUUCGGGGUCCACGAUAGGUGGGGCAUGGCUGUCUUCAGCUCUGGUCGUGAGAUGUUGGGUUAAGUCCCGCAACGAGCGCAACCCUUGUCCUAUGUUGCCAGCGGGUAAAGCCGGGGACUCUAGGAAACUGCCCGGGUCAACUCCGAAGAAGGUGGGGACGACGACAACUCAUCAUGCCCCUUAUGUCCAGGGCUGCAAACAUGCUACAAUGGCCGGUACAAAGGGCAGCUAAACCGCGAGGUCGAGCGAAUCCCAAAAAACCGGUCUCAGUUCGGAUUGAAGUCUGCAACUCGACUUCAUGAAGCUGGAGUCGCUAGUAAUCCCGGAUCAGCAACGCCGGGGUGAAUACGUUCCCGGGUCUUGUACACACCG